AUUGAACGCUGGCGGCAGGCCUAACACAUGCAAGUCGAACGAGUGGCGGACGGGUGAGUAAUGUCUGGGCAACUGCCUGAUGGAGGGGGAUAAAUAAUGGAAACGGUAGCUAAUACCGCCUAACAUAAGAUGUGCCCAGAUGGGAUUAGCUUGUUGGGGGGGUAACGGCUCACCAAGGCGACGAUCCCUAGCUGGUCUGAGAGGAUGACCAGCCACACUGGAACUGAGACACGGUCCAGACUCCUACGGGAGGCAGCAGUGGGGAAUAUUGCACAAUGGGCGCAAGCCUGAUACAGCCAUGCCGCGUGUAUGAAGAAGGCCUUCGGGUUGUAAAGUACUUUAAGCGGGGAGGCGUUACCCGCAGAAGAAGCACCGGCUAACUCCGUGCCAGCAGCCGCGGUAAUUC
rnacentral:rRNA from 1 species